UACGGAGGGUGCGAGCGUUAAUCGGAAUAACUGGGCGUAAAGGGCACGCAGGCGGGGUUUUAAGUGAGGUGUGAAAUCUCCGGGCUUAACCUGGGAAUAGCAUUUCAGACUGGGAGUCUAGAGUACUUUAGGGAGGGGUAGAAUUCCACGUGUAGCGGUGAAAUGCGUAGAGAUGUGGAGGAAUACCGAAGGCGAAGGCAGCGCCUUGGGACUGUACUGACGCUCAGGUGCGAAAGCGUGGGGAGCAAACGGG
rnacentral:rRNA from 1 species